GUUCAGUGCCUGUGUGGGCUGGAAUCCAUGCCAGAACACAACAAUGAGAGAGAGAAUAUAUCUCCACUACUUCACUCAGGUUUUUGAACAACAUAAUAAUGGAGACAGUCUGUCAACAGUGAACUGGUCAACAGCUAAAAGGAACAUUCCAGAAGCAUUAGCAUGGCUUGAGAAACUGAGACGGCCUUACAUCAUCAUUAUGCCUUGAGGCUGAGACAGCACAGAAGGAGACCAUCCAGCCCAUUGUCUUUCUACCAUGUCUUUGGCAGAACUAUCCAACUGAUCCCAUUCCCUGCUCUUUUCUAAUAACCCCUGUGAAUGCUUUUCUUCCAACUGAU